GGAAUGUAGCUCAGUUGGUAGAAUGCUUGCCUUGCAUGCACAAGGCCCUGGGUUCAAUUCCCAGCACCA
rnacentral:tRNA from 1 species